rnacentral:rRNA from 1 species
CCUACGGGAGGCAGCAGUGGGGAAUUUUGGACAAUGGGGGCAACCCUGAUCCAGCAAUGCCGCGUGAGUGAAGAAGGCCUUCGGGUUGUAAAGCUCUUUUGUCAGGGAAGAAACAGCAGCUCUAACACAGCUGUGAAUGACGGUACCUGAAGAAUAAGCACCGGCUAACUACGUGCCAGCAGCCGCGGUAAUACGUAGGGUGCAAGCGUUAAUCGGAAUUACUGGGCGUAAAGCGUGCGCAGGCGGUUAUAUAAGACAGGUGUGAAAUCCCCGGGCUUAACCUGGGAAUUGCAUCUGUGACUGUAUAGCUAGAGUGUGUCAGAGGGGGGUAGAAUUCCACGUGUAGCAGUGAAAUGCGUAGAUAUGUGGAGGAAUACCAAUGGCGAAGGCAGCCCCCUGGGAUAACACUGACGCUCAUGCACGAAAGCGUGGGGAGCAAACAGGAUUAGAUACCCUGGUAGUCCACGCCCUAAACGAUGCUGACUAGUUGUUCGGGAUUUUAUCCUGAGUAACGUAGCUAACGCGUGAAGUCAGCCGCCUGGGGAGUACGGCGCAAGNUUAAAACGUNAAAGUGAAUUGACGNNGAGACGAGCGAGGACGACGACGAGGGAGAGG